AGGAUGAACGCUGGCGGCGUGCUUAACACGAUGCAAGUCGAACGGAGUUUUAACGAAGUUUCGGAUGGAGUUAGAACUAGUGGCGGACGGGUGAGUAACGCGUGGGUAACCUGCCUCAUACAGGGGGAUAACAGUUAGAAAUGACUGCUAACACCGCAUAAUAUAGUGAAACCGCAUGAUUUUGCUAUCAAAUAUUUAUAGGUAUGAGAUGGGCCCGCGUCUGAUUAGCUAGUUGGUGGGGUAAAAGCCUACCAAGGCGACGAUCAGUAGCCGGCUUGAGAGAGUGACCGGCCACAUUGGGACUGAGACACGGCCCAAACUCCUACGGGAGGCAGCAGUGGGGAAUAUUGGACAAUGGGGGAAACCCUGAUCCAGCCGACGCCGCGUGAGUGAAGAAGUAUUUCGGUAUGUAAAGCUCUAUCAGCAGGGAAGAUAAUGACAGUACCUGACUAAGAAGCCCCGGCUAACUACGUGCCAGCCGCCGC
rnacentral:rRNA from 1 species